UACGUAGGGUGCAAGCGUUGUUCGGAUUCAUUGGGCGUAAAGGGUGCGUAGGUGGCGGGGUAAGUCAGGUGUGAAAUUUCGGAGCUUAACUCCGAAACUGCAUUUGAUACUGCCUUGCUUGAGGACUGGAGAGGAGACUGGAAUUCACGGUGUAGCAGUGAAAUGCGUAGAGAUCGUGAGGAAGACCAGUGGCGAAGGCGGGUCUCUGGACAGUUCCUGACACUGAGGCACGAAGGCCAGGGGAGCAAACGGG
rnacentral:rRNA from 1 species